rnacentral:rRNA from 1 species
GAUGAACGCUGGCGGCGUGCCUAAUACAUGCAAGUCGAGCGAACAGACGAGGAGCUUGCUCCUCUGACGUUAGCGGCGGACGGGUGAGUAACACGUGGAUAACCUACCUAUAAGACUGGGAUAACUUCGGGAAACCGGAGCUAAUACCGGAUAAUAUAUUAAACCGCAUGGUCCAAUAGUGAAAGACGGUUUUGCUGUCACUUAUAGAUGGAUCCGCGCCGCAUUAGCUAGUUGGUAAGGUAACGGCUUACCAAGGCAACGAUGCGUAGCCGACCUGAGAGGGUGAUCGGCCACACUGGAACUGAGACACGGUCCAGACUCCUACGGGAGGCAGCAGUAGGGAAUCUUCCGCAAUGGGCGAAAGCCUGACGGAGCAACGCCGCGUGAGUGAUGAAGGUCUUCGGAUUGUAAAACUCUGUUAUUAGGGAAGAACAAAUGUGUAAGUAACUAUGCACGUCUUGACGGUACCUAAUCAGAAAGCCACGGCUAACUACGUG